rnacentral:misc_RNA from 1 species
AAAGUGCACUUGAAGGUGAUAUCUGCAGAAAUUAGCACAUGCCUCCAUCACAAUAAGGUACUUUUCAAACAAUAUAUACCUCUCACCAUGAACCAAAGAAACAAUUAUAAUCUAUGAGGGUUUCAUUAACUAUUUUGAAGUUUAACCAUCAAAAAAGUGUAUUUGAAGGGGAUGUUUUAAAAAAUAAGCACCUGCCAUCAUCAACAGGUAGUUUUCAAUAAUAUGUAGCUCCCACUAUGAGAAUGAGAACCCACUAUGACAAUGAACGUGUAGUUGAAGAAAGCAUUUAAAGUAGGAAAAUAUAUCAAUAGCAUGAAGAACAAAUGCACUGAACCAUUUCUUUCGGCUCAAGUGUUGAUUGAAGCAAUAAACUUGGAAGUCCAAGUUGAUGGCAACAUUUUGUCGCGUUUAGACUUGAUGACAGAGAGCCCACGUUCUAUAACAACCCUAUCUUAAGACAAUCGCAAAGAAAAAAAAGAGCCAAGAAUCUUGAACACUACGCAAGUGUGGCAACAUUCAUAGUGUAGGCCACUUACAUGGUGACACAAUUACUAUCCAUUGGAGUAUUUCAAGAGUUCAAAUUGUCAAAAUCUGUGCAACAGUUCAUUCCACAAAGCCAGAAAUCAUUAUAUAAUGUCUGCAUAUAGACAAAGGAAUAUCCAGAAGUCUACUGUUCCUCACGAUCUCUUAUUUUGAUGAAUAUCAGUCAAAAACUAAUGAUACUAAAUGCAAACUGAAGAACCAUAAUUGAAGCACUUAGUGAGACAUGAUAACUUCUUUCGUUAUAUAUUUGGUAGUUGGUGAUUUAAAAGGAUUGGAAGGUUAAUAAAUUUCUUGAUAUACUAGAUUGAUUUAUUAGCUUAAUCAAUCAUGACUAACUUCUGUUUCACUUCCUGAACUAGAUGCCUUUAAUUAAAUUAUACAGUUUGAUACAAACACAUACCUUUGGGUAGUUAGCCAUAAGAUCAAUCCUAAUAUAGUAAUACCCUAUGCUCAACCCAUAAAUUUAUUGAAAGUAUGUGGAUGACAAAUAAUUUAAUUUAACAAGGGGUUCAUACAACAGUAGAAGUAAUAAAGUAUAUACUAUGUAAAAGAAUUCUAUGCACUGAAAUGCUAGACAAAGGAACAAAGCAAACCUAAAAAAAAGGAACAAUCAUUUAAUCUGGGCCUAGCAAUAACAUGGGGCAAAAAUAAUUUGAGAAACUUUAUGAACAGCCUUUUUCGAGAUAGUUUUGAUCACCCCAGGUGUCACCAAAGGCUGUUUUGGCUUCUCUCUCUCUCUUUUUUAUUUUUUUUCCCAAUAAGAAGGCUGUUUUUCGUGAUUAUACUAUGUAAAGUGCAAUACAGACUAUGGUUGGAGUGAAGAAAAUAAUAAAGGAAGAGAUGAGUGGAAAAAAGUAGGGAAAGGUCAGAUGGAUCCUUCUCUUUUGUUCAAAUAAAAGGGAAAGAAAGAAAGGAAAACAAAACCACCACCACCCCCCCAAAUGAGAAAUAAUUAGCAUCAGCGUCAUGAGAUGAGCUGGG